AACGAACGCUGGCGGCAUGCCUAACACAUGCAAGUCGAACGAGACCUUCGGGUCUAGUGGCGCACGGGUGCGUAACGCGGGGGAACCUGCCCUUAGGUUCGGAAUAACUCCCCGAAAGGGGUGCUAAUACCGGAUAAUGUCUUCGGACCAAAGAUUUAUCGCCUUUGGAUGGGCCCGCGUUGGAUUAGCUAGUUGGUAGGGUAAAAGCCUACCAAGGCGACGAUCCAUAGCUGGUCUGAGAGGAUGCUCAGUCACACUGGGACUGAGACACGGCCCAGACUCCUACGGGAGGCAGCAGUGGGGAAUAUUGGACAAUGGGCGAAAGCCUGAUCCAGCAAUGCCGCGUGAGUGAUGAAGGCCUUAGGGUUGUAAAGCUCUUUUACCCGGGAUGAUAAUGACAGUACCGGGAGAAUAAGCUCCGGCUAACUCCGUG
rnacentral:rRNA from 1 species